GGUCGAAGCCACUAUAGGCCCCAUGUUACCUGUACAUAUUUGGGAAUCUGUGUGGACACGUAGACAUCUAUUUCUUGAUCCUCUCCUUUGGGAACAACCAGCAUGCUUUGGGUUUCCAUAUAGAAAUGUUCUUGACCUCCCACAUGUAUUUCACCUCCAAGAAUUUGAUGAA